rnacentral:rRNA from 1 species
AUUGAACGCUGGCGGAAUGCUUUACACAUGCAAGUCGAACGGCAGCACGGACUUCGGUCUGGUGGCGAGUGGCGAACGGGUGAGUAAUGUAUCGGAACGUGCCCAGUCGUGGGGGAUAACGUAGUGAAAAUUACGCUAAUACCGCAUACGAUCUAUGGAUGAAAGCGGGGGAUCGCAAGACCUCGCGCGAUUGGAGCGGCCGAUAUCAGAUUAGGUAGUUGGUGGGGUAAAGGCCCACCAAGCCAACGAUCUGUAGCUGGUCUGAGAGGACGACCAGCCACACUGGAACUGAGACACGUUCCAGACUCCUACGGGAGGCAGAAGUAGGGAAUUUUGGACAAUGGGCGAAAGCCUGAUCCAGCCAUUCCGCGUGCAGGAUGAAGGCCCUCGGGUUGUGAACUGCUUUUGUACAGAACGAAAGGGUUUCUACUAAUACUAGGAGCUCAUGACGGUACCGUAAGAAUAAGCACCGGCUAACUACGUGCCAGCCGCCGCAGUAA